AGCAGUCGCCGCGGUAAUACGAAGGGUGCAAGCGUUAAUCGGAAUUACUGGGCGUAAAGCGUGCGUAGGCGGUGAGUUAAGUCUGCUGUGAAAUCCCCGGGCUCAACCCGGGAAUGGCAGUGGAUACUGGCUCGCUAGAGUGUGUCAGAGGAUGGUGGAAUUCCCGGUGUAGCGGUGAAAUGCGUAGAGAUCGGGAGGAACAUCAGUGGCGAAGGCGGCCAUCUGGGACAACACUGACGCUGAGGCACGAAAGCGUGGGGAGCAAACAGGAUUAGAUACCCCGGUAGUCCCUGUCUCUUAUAA
rnacentral:rRNA from 1 species